UGGCUUGUGUUAGCCGACCGUGAAACUCCACCAGUGAUUAUGGGAAAAGGCAAACUGCGUCUUUAGAAAAAUACAAAAGCUUCCUCAGGUGUUAGCACUUGGCACUCAACCAUGAACUGUGACUUGGCAGCUGUACACUCUCAUCCUAACUCAGGUCAAGAAAAGAAAUAACCCAAAGCUGAACGCAGUAGCUUGGCUCUCCAUUAACACUGUUACCAUCAGAGCAUGCUAGAGCCUGAGAGAGAGCUUCAAAUUCUUUAAGAUUUUUACCUUAACACACCGUCCUGAAUCUACAGAAUCCGUAUCAACAUUUGAGAAGAGUUGGCCUUGAUUAGGCAGAAAUCAGGAAUCAAUCCUUCUCUUCACCUUGUUUAUUGAGUUUUGUGGAAGACAUUAUUAAACAUGAACAAAAGUUUGUUUCUGAAGUCUGAAUUUAAAAAUAAACUU
rnacentral:lncRNA from 1 species